AUGAUUUCUUGGCCUUUUGGCUAAGAUCAAGUGUAGUACCUACUAUUUUCUGAAGCUCAAGGUCUCCAUAACGUGGCAGAAACUCUCAUUGAAAACAAUUGUUUUGAUGUACAUUAAAAACUGUAUUUUUGCUUUUAUUUUAUGAGCCUCACAAAAUUCUUUUUUCAAUUUCAGAAGUUCAUUGAAAAAGAUGUUUU